rnacentral:rRNA from 1 species
UACGGAGGAUCCAAGCGUUAUCCGGAUUUAUUGGGUUUAAAGGGUGCGCAGGCGGAAUGAUCAGUCAGUGGUGAAAUCCUACGGCUCAACCGUAGAACUGCCAUUGAUACUGUCAUUCUUGAGUAUAAUUGAUGUGGGCGGAAUGUGUCAUGUAGCGGUGAAAUGCUUAGAUAUGACACAGAACACCGAUCGCGAAGGCAGCUCACAAAGCUAUAACUGACGCUCAGGCACGAAAGCGUGGGGAUCAAACAGG